UCUUCCUGGCAAUUGGCAUAGAGAUACCUUGGUGGUGGUGGUGUUCUUAGUCAGGGGCAGAACAAAUGGCAGUUCUUUGUUAAUCCUAGCUUGGUGCCUGGCUUGGUGGCCAAAGGCAAUUUAUGCCUAGGACAUAAAA